UACGAAGGGGGCUAGCGUUGUUCGGAAUUACUGGGCGUAAAGCGUGCGCAGGCGGCUUCUCAAGUCAGGGGUGAAAGCCCAGAGCUCAACUCUGGAAUUGCCUUUGAGACUGAGUGGCUUGAGUACGAGAGAGGUGAGUGGAAUUCCCAGUGUAGAGGUGAAAUUCGUAGAUAUUGGGAAGAACACCGGUGGCGAAGGCGGCUCUCUGGACCGAGACUGACGCUGAGGCGGCGAAAAGCGUGGGGAGCAAACAGG
rnacentral:rRNA from 1 species